AGUAAUGCAUAGGAAUCUGCCCGGUAGUGGGGGAUAACCUGGGGAAACCCAGGCUAAUACCGCAUACGUCCUACGGGAGAAAGCAGGGGAUCUUCGGACCUUGCGCUAUCGGAUGAGCCUAUGUCGGAUUAGCUUGUUGGUGAGGUAAUGGCUCACCAAGGCGACGAUCCGUAGCUGGUCUGAGAGGAUGAUCAGCCACAUCGGGACUGAGACACGGCCCGAACUCCUACGGGAGGCAGCAGUGGGGAAUAUUGGACAAUGGGCGAAAGCCUGAUCCAGCCAUGCCGCGUGUGUGAAGAAGGCUUUCGGGUUGUAAAGCACUUUCAGUGAGGAAGAAGGCCUUGGGGCUAAUACCCCCGAGGAAGGACAUCACCCACAGCG
rnacentral:rRNA from 1 species